GUUUUCGGCUGUUUUCGGCACGCUCCUCCCACUCGGCCCCCUCUGCUCUGGGGCGGCUGUGCCUUCGGGAAGCAUCGGCUGUUUCCGCCGAGCCCAACGCCCUCAAUCUUCCCCUUCGGACAACAUCGGCUAUUUCCGCCACCAGCCUUCCGCUUCCCCGUAACGAGCCCCACCAGCCUUCGGAAAACAUCGGCUAUCGCCGCAGGAAGCUGCUCCGCAUUCGGAAGUUCCCGGCUAUUUCCGUGACCCUUCACCCCUCGCCCUGCUGCCACUGCCGGUUGGAACGCUCGGAGAAAGCAGCUGUUCGGAGAGCUAGGCUGGCUGAUUGGCCAAGCGCCCCUCGCCUCUUGGGUGGGAUGGCGAGCUCCUGAGAGGCGUGCUUCGCUCUGCUGCAGACAGCCUGGGGGCAGAUGUACCCUCAGAGACCAGAAGGGGGAAAUGGGUGCAGCAAGCCUCAUAACUGUGACCGUGUGCUUCAAAAUAUUUGUUUUAUCAGGAUAUAAUCCAACCUCCUACAGCCUAUGCUGCAUGUGUUUCAAUGAUCACAGGAUCUUCUCCUUCCCAGAGGCUAGUGAAGAUUAGAAAGAAAAAAAAAACGCACUCGUGAUGAAAUGUUCUCUGAGCUCAUGCUGUCCUCCCACACUGACAGAGCACAGACGAAUGCGUGGAGGCAAAUAAUGUCAGAGUGCAGGAAAGCACAAAAUGACCGGGAGGAGAGGUGGCGGGCUGAAGACAGGGCUGAAGCUCAAAUGUGGCGGCAGCGUGAUGAGAGGAGGCAGGAUUCAAUGCUGAGGCUGCUGGAGGAUCAAACCAGUAUGCUCCAGUGUAUGGUUGAGCUGCAGCAAAGGCAGCUGGAGCACAGACUGCCACUACAGCCUCUGUGUAACCAACUGACCUCCUCCCCAAGUUCCGUAGCCUCCACACCCAGACGCCCAAGAACGCGGCGGGGGGGGCCACCGGCCAACCAGCCACUCCGCCACAGAGGAUUGCCCAAAAAAAAGAAGGCUGUCAUUCAAUAAAUUUUAAAGUUGUAAACUUUUAAAGUGCUGUGCUUAAAGUGCUGUGUGGCAUUUUCCUUCCCUCCUCCACCACCCCUCCUGGGCUACCUUGGUAGUCAUCCCCCUAUUUGUGUGAUGAAUGAAUAAAGAAUGCAUGAAUGUGAAGCAACAAUGACUUUAUUGCCUCUGCAAGCGGUGAUCGAAGGGAGGAGGGGAGGGUGGUUAGCUUACAGAGAAGUAGAGUGAACCAAGGGGCGGGGGGUUUCAUCAAGGAGAAACAAACAGAACUUUCACACCGUAGCCUGGCCAGUCAUGAAACUGGUUUUCAAAGCUUCUCUGAUGCGUACCACGCCCUCCUGUGCUCUUCUAACCGCCCUGGUGUCUGGCUGCGCGUAACCAGCAGCC